rnacentral:rRNA from 1 species
GCUCCAAUAGCGUAUAUUAAAGUUGUUGCAGUUAAAAAGCUCGUAGUCGGAUCUGAGGCGCCGGCGGGCGGUCCCUCUUCGCGAGGGUCUACUGCCCGCUCCGGCCCUGACCCGCCGGCGAGCGGCCGGUGCCCUUGACUGGGUGCCGGCAGCGGCCGGAACGUUUACUUUGAAGAAAUUAGAGUGUUCAAGGCAGGCGGUUCGCCUGAAUGGUGGUGCAUGGAAUAAUGGAACAGGACCCCGGUUCUAUUCUGUUGGUCUUCGGAACUCGAGGUAAUGAUCAAGAGGGACGGACGGGGGCAUUCGUAUUGCGGUGUGAGAGGUGAAAUUCUUAGAUCGCCGCAAGACGGGCUGCUGCGAAAGCGUCUGCCAAGAACGUUUUCAUUGAUCAAGAACGAAAGUCAGAGGCUCGAAGACGAUCAGAUACCGUCCUAGUUCUGACCAUAAACGAUGCCGACUAGCAAUCCGCCGGAGUUGUUUGCAUGACCCGGCUGGCGGCUUCCGGGAAACCAAAGUCUUUGGGUUCCGGGGGAAGUAUGGUUGCAAAGCUGAAACUUAAAGGAAUUGACGGAAGGGCACCACCAGGAGUGGAGCCUGCGGCUUAAUUUGACUCAACACGGGGAAACUCACCCGGCCCGGACACCGUAAGGAUUGACAGAUUGAGAGCUCUUUCUUGAUUCGGUGGGUGGUGGUGCAUGGCCGUUCUUAGUUGGUGGAGCGAUUUGUCUGGUUAAUUCCGAUAACGAACGAGACUCUGGCCUAUUAAAUAGUUCGCCCGUGCACGUCCGGCGGGCGCCAACUUCUUAGAGGGACAAGUGGCUGUCAGCCACGCGAGAUUGAGCAAUAACAGGUCUGUGAUGCCCUUAGAUGUUCGGGGCCGCACGCGCGCUACACUGAAGCAAUCAGCGUGCCUGUCUCCUGGUCCGGAAGGACCGGGCAACCCGCUGAACCUGCUUCGUGAUAGGGACUGGGGCUUGCAAUUGUUCCCCACGAACGAGGAAUUCCCAGUAGGCGCGAGUCAUGAGCUCGCGUCGAUUACGUCCCUGCCCUUUGUACACACCGCCCGUCGCUACUACC